rnacentral:rRNA from 1 species
UACGAAGGGGGCUAGCGUUGUUCGGAAUUACUGGGCGUAAAGCGUCGCGCAGGCGGCUUAUCCAAGUCAGUGGUACGGAAAGCCCGGUGAGCUCAACUCCGGAACUGGCCAUUGAAACUGUUUAGCUUUGAGGGACGAGAGAGGUGAGUGGAAUUCCCAGUGUAGAGGUGAAAUUCGUAGAUAUUGGGAAGAACGACCGGUGGC